GAUGAACGCUGGCGGCGUGCCUAAUACAUGCAAGUCGAGCGAACGGACGAGAAGCUUGCUUCUCUGAUGUUAGCGGCGGACGGGUGAGUAACACGUGGAUAACCUACCUAUAAGACUGGGAUAACUUCGGGAAACCGGAGCUAAUACCGGAUAAUAUUUUGAACCGCAUGGUUCAAAAGUGAAAGACGGUCUUGCUGUCACUUAUAGAUGGAUCCGCGCUGCAUUAGCUAGUUGGUAAGGUAACGGCUUACCAAGGCAACGAUGCAUAGCCGACCUGAGAGAGGGAUCGGCGACACUGGAGCUGAGACACGGUCCAGACGACUACGAGAGGCAGCAGUAGGGAAUCUUCCGCAGUGGGCGAAAGCCUGACGGAGCAACGCCGCGUGAGUGAUGGAGGUCUUCGGAUCGUAAAACUCUGUUAUUAGUGAAGAACAUAUGUGUAAGUAACUGUGCACAGCUUGACGGUACCUAGUCAGAAAGCCACGGCUAACUACGUG
rnacentral:rRNA from 1 species